rnacentral:rRNA from 1 species
UGGGGAAUUUUGGACAAUGGGCGAAAGCCUGAUCCAGCAAUGCCGCGUGUGUGAAGAAGGCCUUCGGGUUGUAAAGCACUUUUGUCCGGAAAGAAAUCCUUGGCUCUAAUACAGUCGGGGGAUGACGGUACCGGAAGAAUAAGCACCGGCUAACUACGUGCCAGCAGCCGCGGUAAUACGUAGGGUGCAAGCGUUAAUCGGAAUUACUGGGCGUAAAGCGUGCGCAGGCGGUUUGCUAAGACCGAUGUGAAAUCCCCGGGCUCAACCUGGGAACUGCAUUGGUGACUGGCAGGCUAGAGUAUGGCAGAGGGGGGUAGAAUUCCACGUGUAGCAGUGAAAUGCGUAGAGAUGUGGAGGAAUACCGAUGGCGAAGGCAGCCCCCUGGGCCAAUACUGACGCUCAUGCACGAAAGCGUGGGGAGCAAACAGGAUUAGAUACCCUGGUAGUCCACGCCCUAAACGAUGUCAACCAGUUGUUGGGGAUUCAUUUCCUUAGUAACGUAGCUAACGCGUGAAGUUGACCGCCUGGGGAGUACGGUCGCAAGAUUAAAACUCAAAUGAAUUGACGGGGUCAUAGCUGUUUCCU